rnacentral:misc_RNA from 1 species
GCAUGAGAUGUGCAAGUUUGGCUUACCAUUAGACUUGGGCAUUUGAUUGUAUAUCUUAACAGCAUUCUCAAGAUGCCCCAACUCCUUGCAUGAGCAAAUCAACAAAUGAUACAAGUUGUCCUCAAAAACUGGAUCAUUCCACUCUUUGUCCCCCAACACUUUUAAAGCAUUAUCGACCAAGCAAUAUUUCAUAUAAGCCAUUACCAGAAUGG